CAGAGAAGAGGGAUCUAUGCGUGCAGGUACAUAGUUCCUUGAACGUGGUGCCACAGAUAGAUUGGGCGAGUUGGGAAAUUGUUUUACAGUUGUACCAGAAACGGGUGAGGCUGCACAUGGAGCAUUAUGUUCAGUUUUGAUCACCCUGCUUUAGAUAAUAAAUGAUUUAG